ACAGGGAUGACCGAUGGCUAGGGCGCCCCGGGAGUGAUGGAAGUUAACACGCGGGUUUUUCGGAAAGCACCUGAGACUUGGAGACUGGAGCCUGGGAAGGCCGUGCGAGGAAACUUCAAUGAAUCACACAAUCCUUACUCAGAGGCCAGGAAGGAAGCACUAAUGUCGAAACUCCUCGGAUGUCCCCCAGACUCCCGCCUGGGCCAUUAAUGGCCUCACAGAACUCCAUGGUAUUGGAUGGACCUCACUCCUGGGGCAUAUUUGUGUGGCUUCAAACUUUUUCUUGUGAUAAACAAGGCUACUAUGAAUAGCAGCGUGCAGAAACACUCCAUCUGUGAGACAGAUUCUUUGAAGCAGGAUUCCUAGACCAGAGGGUUUCUGCACGUGUCCUGUUGGCUGAUGGAAUACUGCAGUAUAUCCAGAGAAUUGCCUGGAAGAUGGGAUUUGCGGGCAUGAAACCAGGUAACGGAGUCCACCCAGCUGGGCCGUGUGGAAAAGUCUGGACCUCACUGUUCCACCUCUCCUCCCCAGAUCGCGGUAAUACUUGCAAAGGCUGUCAUUGGUCACAUUUCAUGUUUUCUCAUUUUAUGCUUGGUGUAACCAACGAUCCUGAAAAUAAUCAGUAUUAAUAUCCAGAUUUCACUGGGGAGAAAUGACUCUCAGAGAGCUGGCAUGACAGGCCUGUCCAAGGUCACAGGCUGAGCACAGACGAGCUGUCGUGGUGGCACCUGUGUCUGGGGCCACAGCACGAUGAACCUUCCCACCGUUCCCCUCCCAGCCUCAGACCCAAAAGGUGGAACAUGGACCUCCUAGCGCCUUCUUCCCUCAAUCAGACUUUUUAAACAGUUUCUCAGAUCAGGUCGUGGCACACACAACAGCCAUCUCGGGCCCACGCGGGAGUUACAAACCCUGUCCCCAUCACCUGGACGCACUGCGACCAAUGCUGAGCAGGAGAGCGUGCAAGGCGGCUGUAACACGGA